AACAAUGAUUGAGGAUAAAUACACUGGAUGUGUAGGAGCACUAACAGAGAUUUUGAGUUCUGUGGAGGACGUAGCGUUCACCUGCGACGCUGUAACGAUCCCAAACUCGAGUCGCUCGUUUCUCACAAUUACAGCUCAUUUUCUACAUGAAGAGUCGCUGAAUUCCAUAUGCCGUAUAGCUUCCAGAAUGGAUCAGUCGCAUACCAGUGAUUAUAUAACCACUUUAUUGGAAGAGGCCUGCGCAGAGUUCGGUAUUAACCGUUUUAAGUGUACCACUCUGACUACUGACAGCGCCAAUAAUAUGAAGUGCGCUGCCAAACUUUUCUUGGGGAAUGGAAAGCAUGUGCCGUGCUUCGCGCAUGCAAUUAACUUAGUUGUGGAUGAUUCCAUUAAGGAAAUUCAGUCCUUUCCCAAUAUUUUGGAUAAAAUUAUCGAAUCGUGAUGCACUUUAAACAUAGCACGGCCAUGAUGGACCUACUGAGAACGGCGGAAGCGGAUGAGGGCACUCCGGAAGGGAAAAUAAAAACCCUAGUCCAAAACAUAGACACCCGGUGGAACUCGUGUCUGGAUAUGAUGCAAGCGUUCCUCAACCUAGCGAACAAAGUCGCAGUAAUUUUAAUUAAUAAAUCUGAACACGCUAAGGGACUUCCCGAAAUGUUGUAUUCAUCAGAAAUUACUAUAUGUAUGGACCUAUGUAGUCUCCUUCAGCCAUUUAAAGCAGCCACGGAACAAAUAAGUGGUGAGCAGUAUGUGACUGUUAGCUUGGUAAUUCCUUUGAUAGCUUUGAUAUCGAAUCAAAUACAAAAAUUAAACAUGGAGACAGAAGACGGAAAGCGCGCCAAGGAGGCGUUUGUACGGAUUUCCAAUAAAAGAUUUCAGUCGUAUCACCAAAACAAAAUCUUGGUCAAAUCUUCGUUUCUAGAUCCUAGAUUUAAGAAAAUGUACCUAGCACCAAUGAUGGUGAAGGAGGCGGUGUUUGAAAUUAAUAAUGAGAACACAAUGUCUGCCCAAGAAAGACGGAUUUCUGAAGUCGACAGGAUUUGGGGGACUUCAUGAGCUGCCAUAACAGCUCCAUUGCAAAAGAGUUGGACGAUCAGAACAAGGAGAGCAAGGAGCUUAAACUACAUUUUAGCUUUCCUCAAGCUGCUUGGGAAAGCAAUCCAAUCGAAGUAUGGAAAGGCCACAAGGCAACAAUGCCGGGCCUUUACCGCUUGGCCAUUAGAUACUUAAUAACUCCGGGAAGCUCAGUGCCUUCAGAGCGGUUGGCGUCCGCCAUAAAAUGUGUAGUGUGCGACGCACGAAGCCGGAUGACGAACAAACACAUUACUGAACGAGUGUUUUAAAAUCUCUAAAUUCUAAGUUUUGGCAUUAACAUAUGAAAUGUAUUAUUAUCUGUAAAAUUAU